GGCCUCGUAGCUCAGUUGGCUAGAGCAUUUGUUGUACGGAAGCCUUCCCCUUUGCUGACAUGGGUUCGAAUCCCACAGAGGCCA
rnacentral:tRNA from 1 species